rnacentral:rRNA from 1 species
GCUCCAAUAGCGUAUAUUAAAGUUGUUGCAGUUAAAAAGCUCGUAGUUGGAUUUCUGGGAGGGUGCCAAUGUCCGUCGUCGUACGUGUUGCAGCGGCGCCUUCCAUCCUUCUGUUAACGACUUUGGGCAUUCACUUGCCGGAGUCGGGCUCAGAUAUUUUACCUUGAGAAAAUUAGAGUGUUUCAGGCAGCUAGGCCGGA